GCGUUCAUAGCUCAGUUGGUUAGAGCACCACCUUGACAUGGUGGGGGUCGUUGGUUCGAGUCCAAUUGAACGCACCA
rnacentral:tRNA from 5327 species